UACGUAGGGGGCUAGCGUUGUCCGGAAUCAUUGGGCGUAAGAGCGUGUAGGCGGCUCGGUAAGUCCGCUGUAAAAGUCAAAGGCUCAACCUUUGAAUGUCAGUGGAUACUGCCGGGCUAGAGUCCGGAAGAGGCGAGUGGAACUCCUGGUGUAGCGGUGGAAUGCGCAGAUAUCAGGAAGAACACCAACGGCGAAGGCAGCUCGCUGGGACGGUACUGACGCUGAGACGCGAAAGCGUGGGGAGCGAACAGG
rnacentral:rRNA from 1 species